CAGUCGCCGCGGGAAUACGAAGGGGGCUAGCGUUGCUCGGAAUGACUGGGCGUAAAGGGCGCGUAGGCGGUUUGUACAGUUGGAUGUGAAAUUCCUGGGCUUAACCUGGGGGCUGCAUUCAAUACGUGCAGGCUUGAGUGUGGAAGAGGGUUGUGGAAUUCCCAGUGUAGAGGUGAAAUUCGUAGAGAUUGGGAAGAACACCGGUGGCGAAGGCGGCCAACUGGACUGGUAUUGACGCUGAGGCGCGAAAGCGUGGGGAGCAAACAGGAUUAGAUACCCGCGUAGUCCCUGUCUCUUAUAC
rnacentral:rRNA from 1 species